AUUGAACGCUGGCGGCAUGCCUUACACAUGCAAGUCGAACGGUAACAGGUCUUCGGAUGCUGACGAGUGGCGAACGGGUGAGUAAUGCAUCGGAACGUGCCCAGUAGUGGGGGAUAGCCCGGCGAAAGCCGGAUUAAUACCGCAUACGACCUGAGGGUGAAAGGGGGGGAUCGCAAGACCUCUCGCUAUUGGAGCGGCCGAUGUCAGAUUAGCUAGUUGGUGGGGUAAAGGCCUACCAAGGCAACGAUCUGUAGUUGGUCUGAGAGGACGACCAGCCACACUGGGACUCAGACACGGCCCAGACUACUACGGGAGGCAGCAGUGGGGAAUUUUGGACAAUGGGCGCAAGCCUGAUCCAGCAAUGCCGCGUGCAGGAAGAAGGCCUUCGGGUUGUAAACUGCUUUUGUCAGGGAAGAAAUCUUCUGGGUUAAUACCUCGGGAGGAUGACGGUACCUGAAGAAUAAGCACCGGCUAACUACGUGCCAGCCGCCGCAGUAAGAC
rnacentral:rRNA from 1 species